rnacentral:lncRNA from 1 species
UCCGGAACCAAGUGAGUCGUCUCUUCGGUCUAGAAAUAUACAGAUCGUGAGAUGGAAAAUUUAGGAGCACCUGGAGAUUCUCGGUGGUUUGGCGAUGGGAGUGGCGCGUGCGCAUUACAGCUCCUUCUCCUCUUUAAGGAGUGUGCUGUCGGCAAGGGAGAUACCUGCCUGAAGUAGUAGAUUGAACUAUAGGAUUGUCUCCGCUUGGUCUGUUGUUCCGUCGGUUCCCAUCAGAUCUGAUGGUUAGAUCGUUUGUUUUAUGCGUCUUAGUGACCAGGGUG